UUCUUUAGAACAUCUCAUGUAUGUCUGCAGAUUUCUUGUAGUGUCCACCACUAGAGCUACGUACUUUUCUAAUUGUAACUUCACUUUCUCUGACUCGAUAAUGCAGGAACAUCAGCAUGCCCAAAUGGAAAACUUUAUUGUCGGAAUGCAGGACAUGUUCCUGUCAUUAUAUUUUCUUCGAGAGUAAAUGAUGGCAUUUGUGACUGCUGUGACGGGAGUGACGAAUACAGUGAUAAAGUGAAGUGCCUGAAUACAUGUCGGGAAACUGGAAAAGCAGCAUGAGAUGAGCUGAAGAAAAAAAUUGCUGUGUACCAGGAGGGCGUUGCCAUAUGUAAACAGGAGGUGGAACAGGCUAAAGUAGCUCUUGCAAAAGACAAGGAAGAAUUGUCAAAACUGAAAAGUGAGGAGAAAGUACUGAAAGUGCAGUUUGAACAGCUUAAAGAGCGCAAAGAACAAAUAGAGAAAGCAGAGGAGAAAGAACGAAUGAGAAAA